rnacentral:rRNA from 1 species
UACGUAGGGUGCGAGCGUUAAUCGGAAUUACUGGGCGUAAAGCGUGCGCAGGCGGUUCUCCAAGUCCGUUGUGAAAGCCCCGGGCUCAACCUGGGAAUGGCAGUGGAAACUAGGGGGCUUGAAUCUGGCAGAGGGGGGUGGAAUUCCACGUGUAGCAGUGAAAUGCGUAGAGAUGUGGAGGAACACCGAUGGCGAAGGCAGCCCCCUGGGCUGAGAUUGACGCUCAGGCACGAAAGCGUGGGGAGCAAACAGG